rnacentral:lncRNA from 1 species
UAUAGUAAUGAAACACAGACUUACUCACAAUCAUUUAAUUAUACUUUGACGACCGGUUUCGAUCUCUACAAUAUACAGAUCAUCUUCAGGUCGGCGUUACAAGUAGUUAAAUGCUACAAUAAGAGAAAACUUGUGUUAGACCAGUGUCUGAUUGAAGAGAUGCUAAUAGAAAGCCAAAUUUAAAAAUUUUUUAUAAAAUUUUUUGAAAUAAAGGUUUGCAACUGUUGACAUUUCAGAAUAUUGGUAUAUACAAAGUCAAACCUAUGAGUAAAAAUGCUCAUAGGCAUGUAUGUGCAAAUGGGUGCAUACAGUUUGAAUUUGUUGAGAUUAAAAUUUUUAACCAUUAAAAAACAAAAACAAAAUAAACAUAAACUGACUUAAAUAUGCUUCAAAAUUCAAAGUAGUAAUAAUAAAAGAGAUAGUAAUAUUGUUCUAAUCUACUUACAUGCCGUUACAAGGAUUGCGUUGCAACUUAGUUGUUGUCAUAUUAGUACGUCCAAAUUAUGCUAAUUGGUUUGUUGGGAUAGUGAUAGGGUAAACAGACAUGUUACGUAGGUUAAAACACAGUAAGAUUUCAAAUUUGGAAUUGAUCCUGAAGGAAGAUGCGUAUGUGAAACGGGUGAUGUUUUGUUCGAAUGGAGAAAGACAAUGCUCCAGUAGUUGCGUAUUAAUUGUAGCAAAGUAUGAAAUGUUAUUCUAGGAUCUUGUACGAAUGUGAUGGUCUAAGCUCGUAGAUGUUAUACGAUGCGGGCAGAGGUCAAAGUAUAGGACAUGACAAAUAGGAAAUUGUUGUCAUAAAUUAAUACAAUUUAAGAUAUGUUGUUCUCAGUAAAUUAACUGAGGGAUGUCAUAAGUAUAAUAAUAUCAUAAUAUUAUGAAGUAGUAAGUGCCAUACACUAUGAAACUAUGAAGUGUAUAGAAAUAAAGGGAAACUAGUUAGUUAAAUGAAAAAAUUAUUAUCAAAACAUCGGUUAAGAAACUAUAAAUUAAAAAAUUUCAAAAAGGUAAGAAAUUGAUAAAAUUAAAGAAUAUUUUGUUUGAGCUAUUGUAUAAUGGGAUAUGUACAAAGAAAAAGAAAGAAACGAAAUAUUAAUGGAAGGGUGUAGGCACUUACUUGAGAAUAGUUUUUAACUAAAUAAAUAAAUUAACACAUAACACAUAGGGUUUAAAAGCACAAAGACAUAACAAUUAUUGGUAAAAGGUUUUUUUAAGGGAGGUAGCACUACAUUUCCCCAAUUACUAUUUAACUUAGUUUUUACUUCCUAAAUUGAAGUCUAGUUUUUGUGUUUUCAAGAGGGAAUAUUGACAGUGUAGACAGAUGUAGGUUAUCUGAAAUGUCAAAACACUUCUUCUCAAAUGUUGUACAGUAAUUGCCUAUUUUACUUAAAUCUCUUAGUAACAUAAAGUAUACAGCAUUUUCAAAUUUUACAAAAAAGAUAGUUGUUAAUUUAUAGCAUUAAUAACAAAAUCUAAACUAUAUGUGUAACCACUAUUGUGAAAAAAUGUUAUAACAAUAAUAGAAGUACAUGAUUAAAAGAUGACAGAUGUAUUAUUCUACAUUAGUAUUCAAGUAGAGAAGAAUUAAAGUAGAGAAGAAGUGUUGAGUUUAAGUGUAAGUAGGCAGUGCAUAAUCUAACGUACAAGCAUAUCACCUGUUGCAUAAUUGUAGAUGAGUAAGAUAAAUUGAUUAGCCUAGUCUAUUUAAAUUUAGUAAAUGAAAACAGAUAUAAAACGUGAAAGUUAUAACAAAGACAAAGAAAAAGAAAAAUAAAAGAAAGUUGGUUGGUAGUAUUGUUAAUAUUGCAGUCGUGGCAAUGCCACGUCAACGAGGUCAAAGGAAGCGGAAUGUUUAAUGACAGGUGUGUAGAGGGAGGUAGGGGGGGGUGUUAAUUUAAAAGAGAACCUAAAGUUUGUUUAAAUCCUAUUUGUAUUUAAGUAUUGGUGCCAACCAACUUCCUCAUGCGCCAUAAAUGGUAAGUUAUAAAUUUAAAGUAUUUAAUAGAUUAAAAGGUUUUGAUAACUUGUACAAAAUGAUCAUGCACCUCCAUAUCGGAACUUAUUAAAUUUAUAAAGCUAUAAUAUAAAAUGUGUAGUCUUAGUGAAUUACAAAUAAUUUAGGGUGACAUUUUUAUAUUGAGAAACACGUGUUUAAUGUUUAAGAAUAUUGCACUGAUCAGACUCCGUAUUAAAUGUUCAAACGGUCAGGCAACUAUGAGAUAUUAACAGAAUGAGCUCAAAUGCCAUACCAGCAAAUUUUCUGACAUUUUAAAAAAGUUGUAGGUUACAUUUUUAUAUCACCACGUGGAGAAGUGCAGAUGGUAAUUGAUUGUCCAGUAAUGAAGCUAAGAUGGGAAAAUUGGCUGUGUACUGAGCUACAAAAUCAUCAAAUUCUACAGGAAACGAACAAUGGAGAAUGGAUUUGAAUAAAAUUAAAAUUAGCGGGAUUUUAGAAAUUAAGAGUUAUUCAGGACGUGGCCCUUUUUGCAGAUGUGAAGAAUUUUGAAAUCAAUGUCCGGAUUGAAAUUAUGGUUGGAGUUACGGAUAUGUUGGGAAAAAUGAGAUUGUCCAGAUGUUGGGCGCUGUAUGUAUCUAAGAUGUUCCUUCAAUCUGGUGUCGAACGAUCUAAAGGUUCUUCCGACGUAAUAUGACGAGCAGGUAUGGCAUUUAAGCUCAUAAACUCCACAACACUCAGAUCUAUCACGACUGUCCUUGUUAUUCAAGAAAACCAAACCUAAAUUUGAAUUAGUUCUAAAAGAAAUAUUACAGUAAUCUUUAAAAAUAUGAGCUAAUUUGUAAGAGAAUUGACCUGUAAAUGUUAAUGAUCUAUAUGGUUUUGGCUCCUGUUCGACUAGAAUAGGCUGUGUACACAGCCUAUUCUAGUCGAACAGGAGCCAAAACCAUAUAGAUCAUUAACAUUUACAGGUCAAUUCUCUUACAAAUUAGCUCAUAUUUUUAAAGAUUACUGUAAUAUUUCUUUUAGAACUAAUUCAAAUUUAGGUUUGGUUUUCUUGAAUAACAAGGACAGUCGUGAUAGAUCUGAGUGUUGUGGAGUUUAUGAGCUUAAAUGCCAUAC